CCAUGUCAUGUUGAAGCACCGACUCCCGUAGAAUCACAGAAGUUAAGCAAUGUUGAGUCUGGUCAGUGUCUAGAUGGGUGACCGCUUGGAAAUACCGGGUGCCGUAA